AAGGGCGCGGACACUAAGCAAUACGACACAUCGAUUGAAUAACUACAAUGUGGCGACUUAGAGUUUUUCGUUUAAUCGUUUAUUUUGUAAUGUUAAUACAUGUCUACAGUGAAAUCAUCUUCAAGACGCCAGUACCCCAUAAUGGUCCAUUUAACAUAACUGUUAAGCUUGAUACUAUUGAAAGUAAGGUAAAUUGGUACAGAGACGGUGUCUACUUACAAGCCUCUGAAAUCAGUGCAUCAGGAAAGGAGUGUAAGACAAUACCAUUUCCAACAGAGGGAUUUGACUUCUACUGUGAAGAUGACGGCCACAUAUACAAGUUAGAAAUACUAAAUAUUACAGCAUAUUUUAACGUUACAUUCAGAGCGAACUACGGUGAAGGAUUAAAUGAUACAUAUACGGUAUCGUUUCCUGAUUCAUUAACCACAACCACUGAAGAUUCAUUAACCACAACCACUGAAGAUUCCUUUACCUGCAACGUUUAUAUCCCAACGAUAGCAGUUAUAGUUGUUCUGAUCAUAAUUGUGGUUGUAUUAUUAAUCCUACAUUUCAAGUAUCCAGGUGAAAGGUGGAGCAUUAUCUUAGAUGUGGCAUUAGUAUGCAUUAAUGUUGUACUUCUAGCUGCUGCAAUAACCUGUACUGUUUUUGUUUCUAGAGGAAUAGGGUGUUAUAGUGAUUGUGAAGAUGUUUGGAAAACUGCUAUUGGGUUUGUUGUUGUAGCCUUCCUGUUGGUAAUGGGUGUUAUGAUAGAGCUGAUUCGAUGUUAUCUCUUCGGUGAUAAGACAUCGGUCGAAGCGGACCGUAAAUAAAGCUAUUUGGCACGCAUCACCCAAAAUGAUGUUAAUUUCCUGUACAGAUUUAGUUUUAUUGUAUAUUUCGACGGAGCAAUAACAACUCUUUGCCUUAUUAAUGACGAUAUUUAAUGUAAUUGGUAGUCCGCGAUAAUGAUGAUCAACUGUUUUGUGUACUGUCAAUAUUAUUUAAAAUAUCAAUUGUGCAUAUAUUGAUGAUUCAGAAUUGCGAUUUUAAUUGUGUGAAACGCAUUUCGAUUUUUCGAUUAAAUAUCCUUGGUGAAAAUUUGCAUAAUACGAGAUAGCUCGGUUUGUAAAAGUCGGAUGCACUUCUUUUUAUUCUGUUCCAGUUGUUUUGAAUACAGCUCAUUGGUAGCAAUACUUAUUUGAUAAAUUCACUCAGCUAAGGUGGUGUUGAUACGAGAUAUGAAUAUUGCGUCAUCGUGGUUAGAGUGUGGUUCGCUUUCGAUAAUGGUAACACUUUGCUAUUAAAUGUAGGUUAAUUUAAUUUAUCGUGGUUAUGGUUACUUUUACGGUAGACAUAUGACGUAAAUAAUAUCCAGUUAUUUGUUGACCGAAUGUCCAAUUUACAACCACAAAUAAAGGUUUUCAAAAGGUUAGGUAUACUUGCGCUGCGGAAUAUGGUGUUAAUUUAAGGACAGAUUUAGAUUAAAAUGAUCGUUUGGUUAUAUUUUGCUCAUGGGUUUACGUCCAAAGUUAACGUUUUGUUUACCAUAUUUCUUUGUCAUAUUUACGUCUAUUUACGCACGACGUAUAUUUUCGACGUCGGAUAUGUACGUUAAUCUAACUCAAACGCAACGGUAUAUUUACGGUAUGUUUACGUCAGAAAGUAGUGUUAAUUUUACGUUACCUUCACGUUGGAAAUUUACGUGAAUUUAACGUAAAUUGAUUAAAGUUUAAUUAAUAUUAAAAAGAUGCAUACAAUUAUCGUCAUCGUGUUAUGUAGGAUGCACCUUCGACGGUAAUUUAAUUAAUGACUUUCUCACGAGCUUGUUUUGUGUUAGUUACUUUAGUAACGGAUUCUUAUCGGCUUUGACCUCUACCCGUUACUGCCUCAUCCUAUACUCAACUAAUAUGAUAAAAGCCCCCCCUUCCAUCUCGGUUCUAAGGCUGUUUUGGAAUCCUUACCGUCUAUAUAGUUGAGUACGAGACCUAAAAUCCGUGACCAAUUUUCGGGGAAGUUGUUUUGAAGGUGGUUUCUAUAUGGCAAAACCUGUUGAAGCGAUAAGGCUUGGGUGCCUCUCUCUAAAACGCUUGCGGAAUCCGCUAAAGGGCCAAAUUCAAAAUGGCUUCCAGAUUUCGCGGGAAAAUAUAAAAUUAUUUAAUAUAGGCGUCUGAGGUGUUUAUUUGUAUGUUUUAAGGGUCUCUGAAACGAAAUAUCAUAGUCAAAAAUCCAUGAGGCUACUACUUUUGUCAAUAUGGCCGAACAAUCCAAGAUGGCCGCCAUUUUGAUCUGGAAAAUAGUUUUGUCAACUACAUUUGUAUACCCAAGUGGUAUGUUUUCGUGGUCGAGGUAUUCAAUUAUGAUGAGUUUGUGUCGAUAUAUGACAACCAGCAAUAAGAGUGAAAGGAAUGAAGGGACUCACCGAUAUUUACAACCUGAUAUACUCUGUAGUCAACUGAUUUUAAUUUAAUCAACGCUUGAUAAUGGAUCCAUGUAAUAUUUAAUCACGCACGAUAAUCGACGUUAAAUUAUCCAAUUAAAGUGAAAGUGUUACUCGUCGGAAUCAUAGUCACCCGAUUUAAAAGAUCGAUCCAUUUCUGAUUAUUCAGAUUCAGAUUGUUCCUCCGAAGUUGAAGUUACGUGGGAAUCGUCAUCACUUGCAUUAUCACUGCUAUGAACAAGUAAGUCGCUUAAACAUCCUGGUAAUGCUGCUUUAUUCUCAUAUCUAAUUGACACGCACUGUCCAGAUUGGAGCAGUUUCCAGCCAUUACCAAUGGGAGAGUGUGUGAUCUUAGACUUUGAGUAAUUAAGCAUUAAAUAUGUCCGAAAAGUAGUCCUGGUGAGUUUAAGUUUGCAAGACUCCUCAUUAGGUUGUAGCUGGCGAAAGGUUUUUUUGUACGCCCACAUUUUCAUGUGGAAGUAUAUUGUCGUCGCCCCUGUCCGUCCGUCCCCAAUUAUUUGUGAACAGUCUACAGGUCACAAUUUUUAUCCGAUUUCAAUGAAACUUGGAAUAUAGGUUUAUCACCCUAAGAUCUCGGUUCCUUUCGAUAUUGGCAUGCAUCGGACCGUAACUUCAUGGAUUAUGGCCCCUGAUUGUACGAAAAAUCACGUUUUUAGCUUGUGAACACUGUAGAGGUCACAAUUUUUAUCCUAUUUGGUUUAAACUUGAAAUGUAUGCUUUCGAUAUUCGCGCAUAUGGCCCCUGAUUGUGGACCCUAUAGAAGUCAUAAUUUUUAUCCGAUUUAAAAAAAACGUAUUUUUAUAUCAUCGUUACACGGCUGAGUUCGAAUUUCGUGAAAAUCGGACCAAAACUGACAGACAAAAUGGCCGCCGUUCGUUCUCAAAUAGCGUAAAAAUAUGGUAUAUCAAGGUUGUGGACCCUAUAGAGGUCACAAUUUUUAUCCGAUUUUGUUGAAACUUGAAAUGUAAGUUUAUAACCCAGCGAUCUCGGUUCUUUUCGAUAUUCGCGCAUAUCGGACCGUAACUUCCUGAAUUAUGGCACCUGAUUGUUCGAAAAAUCGCGUUUUUAGCUUGUGGACUCUAUAGAGGUCAUAAUUUUUAUCCGAUUUAAAAAAUCGUAUUAUUAUAUCACCGUUACACCCUAAGGAUGGCUGAUUUCGAAUUUCGUAAAAACCGGCCCAAAACUGACAGACAAAAUGGCCGCCGUUCGUUCUCAAAUAGCGUAAAAAUAUGGUAUAUCCAGGUUGUGGACCCUAUAGAGGUCACAAUUUUUAUCCGAUUUUGUUGAAACUUGAAAUGUAAGUUUUUAACCCAACGAUCUCGGUUCUUUGCGAUAUUCGCGCAUAUCGGACCGUAACUUCCUGAAUUAUCGCACCUGAUUGUUCGAAAAAUCGCGUUUUUAGCUUGUGGGCUCUAUAGAGGUCAUAAUUUUUAUCCGAUUUAAAAAAAAACUAUUAUUAUAUCACCGUUACACCCUAAGGAUGACUGAUUUCGAAUUUCGUGAAAAUCGGUCCAAAACUGACAGACAAAAUGGCCGCCGUUCGUUCUCAAAUAGCGUUAAAAAAUAUGGUAUAUCAAGGUUGUGGGCCCUAUAGAGGUCACAAUUUUUAUCCGAUUUUGUUGAAACUUGACAUGUAAGUUUAUAACCCAAAGAUCUCGGUUCCUUUCGAUAUUCGCGCAUAUCGGACCGUAACUUCCUGAAUUAUGGCCCCUGAUUGCACAAAAAAUCACGUUUUUAGCUUGUGGACACUAUAGAGGUCAUAAUUUUUAUCACCGUUACACCCUAAGAACGGCUGAGUUCGAAUUUCGUGAAAAUCGGCCCAAAACUGACAGACAAAAUGACCGCCCCUCGUUCUCAAAUUGCGUAAAAAUAUAGGUCACAAUUUUUAUCCGAUUUUGUUGAAACUUGAAAUGUAAUUUUAUAACUCAAAGAUCUCGUUUUUUUCCGAUAUUUGCGCAUAUCGAAUUGUAAUUUCCUGAAUUAUGGCCAUAAUUAUGGCUGCGGCUAAUUUGAUGGGAAUAUACCCUCACUGUAGCUCUUUAAUUAAUUUGUAACUAUCACUCUAAUCAACGAAAACGAGCUAAAAUUGAAUUCCUCGACACUGAAAACAUACAAUUUGUCACGAAACUUGAGCAUAGUUGAAAAAAAUAAAAUCCCAGCAAAAAAUGGCGGCCAUCUUGCAUUUGUCUGCCAUAUUGGCCCAACUAGUGACCAGAUGAAUUUUUGAUAUUAUAUUUCGAUUCCGAGACCCUUAAAACAUAGGAAUAAUGGCCUCAGAAGCCUAUAUUAGAUAUUUUAUAUUUGUAGCGCCAAAUUUGGCAUCUAUUUAGAAUUUAGCCCUCUAGCGGAUUCCUCAAGCGUUUUUUUUUUAUACAGAAACCAUCUUCAAAGCAUAUCACUGACAGCGAGAGCCAAGAAAUGGUCAAGCAUUAAACGAAAAAACUUUCACCGGCUACCACCGCCUGAGGAGUAUUACAAACUUAAACUCACCAGAGCGACUUUUCGGGCAUAUUUAAUGCUUAAUUACUCAAAGUCUAAGAUCACAUACUCUCCCAUUGGUAAUGGUUGGAAACUGCUCCUAUCUGGACAGUGCGUGUCAGUGAUUUACUUGUUCAUGGCAGCGAUAGCGCAAGUGAUGAACAUUCCGACGUAACUUCAACUUCGGAGGAACAAUCUGAAUCUGAACAAUUGGAACUGGAUCUAUCUUUUAAAUCGGAUGACUGUGAUUCUGACGAGUAACACUUUAAUUUUAAGUGGAUAAGUUGAUGAUGUCGAUUAUCGUGCAUGAUUAAAUAUUAAAUGGAUCCAUUAUCAAGAGUUCAUUAAAUUAAAAUCAUCUGAUUAUAGAGUAUAUCAGGUUGUAAAUAUCGGUGAGUCCCUUCAUUUCUCGCACUCUUAUUGCCGGUUGAAUAUAUCGACACAAAUUCAUCAUAAUUGAAUACCUCGACCCCGAAAACAUACAAUUUGGCGUAUAGUUGACAAAACUAUUUUCCAGGUAAAAAAUGGUGGUCAUCUUGGAUUGUUCGGCCAUAUUGACAAAACUAGUGGCCUGAUGGAUUUCGUUUCAGAGACCCUUAAAACAUACGAAUAGACACGUCGAAAGCCUAUAUAUAUUAAAUAAUUUUAUAUUUUCCCGCCAAAUCUGGGAGCCAUUUUGAAUUUGGCCCUCUAGUGGAUUCCGCCAGCAUUUUAGAGAGAGGCACCCAAGCUUAAUCGCUUCAGCUGUGUUCAACCAAUUUUCCAAAUUUAGGAAUGGAAUGUUACAGUAAACGAACAUUCUUGCUGUACUUCAAGUAACGGGCAAAACUGUCAAUAUAGAUACCACUAAAGUCUAUGUAUUCUACAUACGUAAAACAUUAUUACACAAAAUCGAUUAAUACAUUAUUGAAAUACAGCAAGAAUUUUCGUUCACGAUAACAUUCCAUUCCUAAAUUUUGAAUAUUGGCCGAGUGCAGGCGUGAGUUUCAUAAGGGCGGAUCAUUUCAAACGAAUUUUGUUUGUGAUUUUGGAUCGCUCAAUUCUACAUCAAAAUAGUGUUGGAUUAUUAUAAAUUUGUGUCGAAUGUGGCAAGAUAUGAUCCCAUUUGGCGAACAAAGAAGAAUCAUGUAGAAAAGGGAGGUUAGGGAUUCCAAAAUAGCCUUAGAACCGAGAUGGGGGAAAAGCCUUAUUUUCAUAUAAGUUGUGUAUAUGACGAGGCAGUUACGGAUAGAGGCCAUAGCCGAUAAGAAUCAGUUACUAAAGUAAUUAGCUUUGUGUUGAUAUAUAUCAAUAUCUGUUUAAUUGCCAUUUGGAAUCCAUGUUUUGAUUUAUUUAUCCGACGAUUAUAUGAAAUGAAAUAAAGAAUACUUGAAAUAAAUUAUUUCUAAAGAAAACACAUUUUUAAAGAAAACACAUUGGUAUUUGUUAAUUGAUAAGAGAGAGGUGCAGAUAAUCUAUGGUUGUACAAUUAUUGUCCAGGUACAGAAUCACACUGAUCCGCAGUGAAUAUUCGCUUGGCCGCUACAAUCACUGAUAAGGAUGACAUCGAUGCGACUUAAUGACUACAAAAUAUUAACUUUUUUUCUUUUGACAAAUUAAAUUCUGAAACAUUUUUUUUUAGUAUUAGAAAAAUAAAUAAAGGUGUUUGAAGUAUA